CUUGUAAGCCCCUUCUUUCCAAACUAGGAUCUGGCCCUGCAGCUGAUCACCCGCCCAGCACCACCAUUCUGCACGCGGGAACAGCGCGGGAAGCAGAAAAGUGGUCGACGAACACUGGAGAAAGAGGAUGAAUCACCAAGUCUUUAAAGACCCAUCAUGUACAUC
rnacentral:lncRNA from 1 species